rnacentral:lncRNA from 1 species
AGCAAACUAAGGCAAUGCUGGGGCUCUGCCUAUUCUCAGUGGUUGAUGCCAUUUUUAAAUAUAAAUUUUUUUGGUCAUUCUUACCCACAGAAGGACUUUACAGCAAGAAUAGAAGCAAGCUGAGGUGUAUGCCAGAUGACAUGACAGGCACAUGGACCUUACCAUCUUUUUUCUUUAAAUUAUCAAGAGGAGACCACAAGAUGAGGAAUACUUCACUGCAGGUGGUGAUAUGAAACUGACAAGUAGUUUAUAAACUAGCCCUACCCUAUUGCUUGGAGAAGCUUUAUAACUGAUUGUUUUAAUACCAAAGUGACACCAAAGGGGGUCAAGUAAAUAAAUAUGCAAGCCUCACCAGUUCAAAAUAAUAAAAUUCCAAUGUGUGCAAGCCUGCUUGUUGAACAUAUGUUUGAGGCACGGCUAAGCCAUCUGGCUCAGUGUCAAGCAUUUACACCAACUGUAGUCUUACAGUACCUGACAGCAGAAAAGCUUUAUUCCCCUGGUGUUUGGGCACAAAUGGAGAAAUAUUAUUGAAAUGAUUAUCUGCAUCAAGACUCAGAUUUGCUUUGACAUUUAGCUGGCUCUGUUUAAUCCAAAGGGUUGUCUGAAUGAAUAAAGAGAAGGGUUCCUCCAGAAGAUGCUGCGAGCAGCCAGGGAAAGCCAAAUGAUUAAUGAGACUGAAAGGCAGGGUGGACCUGCCCACCUCCACCCAGACCUCAGUGCCAAGAACUGAAUAUGAAAUUAGUCUAAAGCUUUCCGUGGCUUGUCAGGAAGAUUCUUCUACCCUCACAUGGGCUCUCAUUUUGGACUCUGGAACAAAAGAAAUGGAUACCUUACCCAAUAUGGAGGAAAUAGAGAGGCUGGGAGAGUGCUUCGUGUUAUAAUCAGAACAUUUCACAUUCAAACACUUUUUGCUUUUAACAGCUCUACCAGAGGCAUUUAGAUAUUACGUUAGGAGUAGAGUCUCUUUUCGGAAUUAGAAAGCUGCGGCUUGUCGCCUGGUUUCUGUUUUGGCAGCUGGUUUCUAUAUGCUAUGGUCCUUAUAUCAAGAUAAUUUCUUUUGGCUUAGAAUGCUAUGUUCCUCUGGUUAUUCUGUGUUGCCAUUCAUUUUAAGAUGCUAUAUUAAGCUGAGUUACUUGAAAAACGAGGUACAGUGCUAGUUUUAGCAUUCACCUGUGCUAGCAAAAUUCAGGCAUUUAGCCAAAAAAGAGACAUCUUUCAUAGUCAAAGACAAUUAGCAAUAAAAUAAAAUAUUAAUUUUAAAAUAAAACAGAAUAAUAACAACAAUAAUAGAAUAGGCAUCUUAAUUUGGAAAUCUUUAUCAAAGAUUUAUAGGUUGUCACUUAUUUCUUCAGGUAUAUUGUACCUUUUGGAGGGAGAAUUUUAGUAAUGAUUGUUGAUUUAGAUUUGAAAUUACUUUGGUGAUUUGGUUUUAAUAAGAAUGUUAGGCAUGAUUUCUUUCUCACUCUUACUUUUAAUUAACUUUUUAUAGAGAUAUGAAUGAAUUCUAAUGAACACAAUUGGCAAGCUAAUUGAUUUGUUUCAGAUCACAGUGAGCGAUCAGUAUGCUGGCAACAUUGAUAUACUAUUCAAGGAUGUCAAACAGUUUUUGGGUUAAUUUUCUGGCAGAGGUUAGUUGGGGAAACUGCUUAAAAUAUGUACUGUUUUUGAUUUUCAACUAAGUGCCUGGUUUUUUAAAUAUUCAGUGAAUUAAAAGAUAUCUAUUCCUUUGAAUUUAUAGUGUCUUUAAAUUAUCAC